GUCGAGCGGAAACCCCUUCGAGGAACACGAGCGGCGAACUUCUGAGUAACAAGAAAACAACCUGCCCUGCGCUUUGGGAUAACCUUCGGAAACGGUUGCCAAUACCGGAUAUGACCUGUCACCGCAUGGUGGGGGGUGGAAAGUGUUUAGUGGCGUGGGAUGGGCUCGCGGCCUAUCAGCUUGUUGGUGGGGUGAUGGCUUACCAAGGCUUUGACGGGUAGCCGGCCUGAGAGGGCGACCGGCCACACUGGGACUGAGACACGGCCCAGACUCCUACGGGAGGCAGCAGUGGG
rnacentral:rRNA from 1 species